rnacentral:rRNA from 1 species
CCUACGGGAGGCAGCAGUGGGGAAUUUUGGACAAUGGGCGAAAGCCUGAUCCAGCAAUGCCGCGUGUGUGAAGAAGGCCUUCGGGUUGUAAAGCACUUUAGUCCGGAAAGAAAUGCCUUUGGUUAAUACCUGGGGUUGAUGACGGUACCGGAAGAAUAAGCACCGGCUAACUUCGUGCCAGCAGCCGCGGUAAUACGAAGGGUCCAAGCGUUAAUCGGAAUUACUGGGCGUAAAGCGUGCGCAGGCGGUUGUGCAAGUCGGAUGUGAAAUCCCCGGGCUCAACUUGGGAAUUGCAUUGGAAACUGCCGGGCUAGAGUGCGGUAGAGGGGGGUGGAAUUUCAUGUGUAGCGGUGAAAUGCGUAGAGAUAUGGAGGAACACCGAUGGCGAAGGCAGCCCCCUGGGAUAGCACUGACACUCAGCGCGAAAG